GAUGAACGCUGGCGGCGUGCCUAAUACAUGCAAGUCGAGCGAACGGACGAGAAGCUUGCUUCUCUGAUGUUAGCGGCGGACGGGCGAGUAACACGUGGAUAACCUACCUAUAAGACUGGGAUAACUUCGGGAAACCGGAGCUAAUACCGGAUAAUAUUUUGAACCGCAUGGUUCAAAAGUGAAAGACGGUCUUGCUGUCACUUAUAGAUGGAUCCGCGCUGCAUUAGCUAGUUGGUAAGGUAACGGCUUACCAAGGCAACGAUGCAUAGCCGACCUGAGAGGGUGAUCGGCCACACUGGAACUGAGACACGGUCCAGACUCCUACGGGAGGCAGCAGUAGGGAAUCUUCCGCAAUGGGCGAAAGCCUGACGGAGCAACGCCGCGAGAGUGAUGAAGGUCUUCGGAUCGUAAAACUCUGUUAUUAGGGAAGAACAUAUGUGUAAGUAACUGUGCACAUCUUGACGGUACCUAAUCAGAAAGCCACAGCUAACUACGUG
rnacentral:rRNA from 1 species